rnacentral:lncRNA from 1 species
UAACAUUCAUAACUUUCAAUUUAUAAACGUGUACAUUGGACCAACUCCAGAGUCCAGAAUAGAAUAGAAUAGAAGAUAAAUGGUAAUAAAUUUUGAGACACCCUAUAUCCAAUCCCCUCCCCACAUUGGCAAGGAAUUAAUAAAUACCUUAAAACUUUAGGAAUACAUACCCCCCAAAAAUACACGGGAACCCAAAGGAACUUAAAACAAUGAAAAUAUAAUAAAAGAAUUAAUAGAAAAAGAACUCUGUAAAAAACCAAAUAACAAAGGUGACAUCCCCCACCCCCUCUAAUUAUAUCUACACAAGCCAAGCCACCUACCCAAAAUUUGCUGCUUUGCCCAUAACCUAAAGAAGCAAUGCAUUCAGCUCAGGAUACCACAAAUACCUUAUGCAACAACUCCCAACUCAACCACCAUGGCAAAUGAGAUUAUAACUCCAGAGCCAAUGCUGCUGCUUCUUUAUUCUCUCUAAUCUCCUAGUCAUCACAAUUCAGCCCGCAAACCUCUAGUACAGGUCCAUCUUUUGAGACAAAUGGGUUUAUUCGUAC